CCUACGGGAGGCAGCAGUGAGGAAUAUUGGUCAAUGGUCGGGAGACUGAACCAGCCAAGCCGCGUGAGGGAGGAAGGUACAGAGUAUCGUAAACCUCUUUUGUCAGGGAACAAAGGCGGGGACGUGUCCCCGGAUGAGUGUACCUGAAGAAAAAGCAUCGGCUAACUCCGUGCCAGCAGCCGCGGUAAUACGGAGGAUGCGAGCGUUAUCCGGUUGUAUGGGGUGUAAAGGGUGCGCAGGCGGUCUGUUAAGCCGGCGGGAAAAGCCCGGGGCGAAACCCCGGCCCGCCGUUGAAACUGGCAGGCUCGAGUUGGAGAGAAGUAAGGGGAAUGCGCGGUGUAGCGGUGAAAUGCAUAGAUAUCGCGCAGAACUCCGAUUGCGAAGGCAGCAUGCCGGCUCCACACUGACGCUGAGGCACGAAAGCGUGGGUAUCGAACAGGAUUAGAUACCCUUGUAGUC
rnacentral:rRNA from 1 species